AACGAACGCUGGCGGCGUGCCUAACACAUGCAAGUCGAGCGAGAAAGCCCGCAAGGGUGAGUACAGCGGCGCACGGGUGCGUAACACGUGGGUAAUCUGCCCUGAAGCCCGGAAUAACCUCCCGAAAGGGAAGCUAAUACCGGAUAAGACCACGGGAGCCUCGGCUCCUGCGGGAAAAGGUGGCCUCUGCAUGCAAGCUAUCAUUUCAGGAUGAGCCCGCGGCCCAUCAGCUCGUUGGCGGGGUAAUGGCCCACCAAGGCUACGACGGGUAGCUGGUCUGAGAGGACGAUCAGCCAAACUGGAACUGGGACACGGUCCAGACUCCUACGGGAGGCAGCAGUGGGGAAUCUUGCGCAAUGGGCGAAAGCCUGACGCAGCAACGCCGCGUGUGUGAUGAAGGUCUUCGGAUCGUAAAGCACUGUCGGGAGGGACGAAUAGGGGCCGGGUGAACAAUCCGGUCCGAUGACGGUACCUCCAAAGGAAGCACCGGCUAACUCUGUGCCAGCCGCCGCAGUAAUAC
rnacentral:rRNA from 1 species